CAGAAAAUAAUUUAAUUAAAAAAUUUAAAUUUUGGAGAUUUAAUUUGACGUUGCUCUUUUCUGA
rnacentral:tRNA from 1 species